rnacentral:rRNA from 1 species
GAAGGAUCAUUACCGAGUGUAGGGUUCCUAGCGAGCCCAACCUCCCACCCGUGUUUACUGUACCUUAGUUGCUUCGGCGGGCCCGCCAUUCAUGGCCGCCGGGGGCUCUCAGCCCCGGGCCCGCGCCCGCCGGAGACACCACGAACUCUGUCUGAUCUAGUGAAGUCUGAGUUGAUUGUAUCGCAAUCAGUUAAAACUUUCAACAAUGGAUCUCUUGGUUCCGGCAUCGAUGAAGAACGCAGCGAAAUGCGAUAACUAGUGUGAAUUGCAGAAUUCCGUGAAUCAUCGAGUCUUUGAACGCACAUUGCGCCCCCUGGUAUUCCGGGGGGCAUGCCUGUCCGAGCGUCAUUGCUGCCCAUCAAGCACGGCUUGUGUGUUGGGUCGUCGUCCCCUCUCCGGGGGGGACGGGCCCCAAAGGCAGCGGCGGCACCGCGUCCGAUCCUCGAGCGUAUGGGGCUUUGUCACCCGCUCUGUAGGCCCGGCCGGCGCUUGCCGAACGCAAAUCAAUCCUUUCCAGGUUGACCUCGGAUCAGGUAGGGAUACCCGCUGAACUUAA